UGCAAGUCGAACGGCAGCACAGUGGUAGCAAUACCAUGGGUGGCGAGUGGCGGACGGGUGAGUAAUGCAUCGGGACCUACCUGAACGUGGGGGAUAACGUAGGGAAACUUACGCUAAUACCGCAUACGUCCUACGGGAGAAAGCGGGGGACCUUCGGGCCUCGCGCGGUCAGACGGACCGAUGUUCGAUUAGCUAGUUGGUAGGGUAAUGGCCUACCAAGGCGACGAUCGAUAGCUGGUCUGAGAGGAUGAUCAGCCACACUGGAACUGAGACACGGUCCAGACUCCUACGGGAGGCAGCAGUGGGGAAUAUUGGACAAUGGGCGCAAGCCUGAUCCAGCAAUGCCGCGUGUGUGAAGAAGGCCUUCGGGUUGUAAAGCACUUUUAUCGGGAGCGAAAUACCAUCGGUUAAUAACCGGUGGGGCUGACGGUACCCGAGGAAUAAGCACCGGCUAACUUCGUGCCAGCAGCCGCGGUAAUACGAAGGGUGCAAGCGUUAAUCGGAAUUACUGGGCGUAAAGGGUGCGUAGGCGGUUAGUUAAGUCUGUCGUGAAAUCCCCGGGCUCAACCUGGGAAUGGCGAUGGAUACUGGCUGGCUAGAGUGUGUCAGAGGAUGGUGGAAUUUCCCGGUGUAGCGGUGAAAUGCGUAGAGAUCGGAAGGAACAUCAGUGGCGAAGGCGGCCAUCUGGGACAACACUGACGCUGAAGCACGAAAGCGUGGGGAAGCAAACAGGAUUAGAUACCCUGGUAGUCCACGCCCUUAAACCGAUGCGAACUGGAUGUUGGUCUCAACUCGGAGAUCAGUGUCGAAGCUAACGCGUUAAGUUCGCCGCCUGGGGAGUACGGUCGCAAGACUGAAACUCAAAGGAUUUGACGGGGGCCCGCACAAGC
rnacentral:rRNA from 1 species